rnacentral:sRNA from 2 species
AUGAGUUACAACUCAUUCCCGAUAGGAUUCACCAUGUGUGAAGAUGCCUUGUAACCACAAAUAAUAACUAUUAAUGGGGGAAUUUAUACCAUG